GACAACGUGGCCGAGCGGUUAAGGCGAUUGACUAGAAUCUGUUCUAAGGCAUCAUUGUCUACCAUCAAUUGGAGUUUCUCCGCGUAGGUUCAAAUCCUGCCGUUGUCG
rnacentral:tRNA from 3 species